UCAAAGUAAGAUAUCAUGACUUUAAAAUAAAAAUCAAGACAGCUGCAACAAUGAAUAUAGAGAUUUUUCUCACACUUAUAUUUAUGUUCCCCAGUUCUCCUAUCCCACCUCCCAAGAGCUGAAAAAUCAGUGAAUUAAAGGUUUCUAAUGUUGGGGUUUGCUGUGCUAAGCCACUGGCCUUCUUAAACAGACUGUUUUUUUGAUCCCUGUAGAGAAUAGGAUGCUUGUAAAAAAUGAGAGAGAGGAGCAAUGGGCAUUAAGAGUUUUGCUACAUUUGUGUAUUUCACUUGAAUAUAAUAUAUAUUAAGUACUUAGCUUAAUACCUGACAAACAUAAAUAACGGCUCAUAAAUGUUAUUAUUUUAUUAUGAUGAGGGGUAGCAUGCCCUUGGAUUUUCAUGCUCAGAAAUAUAAUAUUCAUCUCUCCAUGCCAUCAAUAAAAAAUCAAUUAAUAAACACUUUUAACUUUUGGGCAACUGGGUGGCUCAAUUAAGCGUCCAACUCUUGGUUUGGGUUCAGAUCAUGAUCUCAUGAUUCAUGAGUUCAAGCCCUGUGUUGGGUUCUGUGCUGACACCGUGGAGCCUGCUUGCAAUUCUCCCUCUCUCUCUCUCUCUCUAUCUCUCUCUGCACCCCUGCCUCCACUCUCUCUCUCUCAAAAUAAAUUAAAAAAAAAAACCCAAAACACAACAUUUUUCUGUUAAACUCCUGUCAUUAAUGGGAAUGCUCCUUAAAAGGAUCAAUCCUCAUUUAUGUCUUCAUCUAAAUUUCAUUUUGUUUUGUUUUAAUAGAACAAGCAAAUUAGAUUUGGGUGGGGAAGGAAUAGAGAAGGGAAAUAUUACAGAGUAGGGCUUCUUCUUAUAAGAAGGCAACGUUAGAAUACGGGAGACAGCAAGAAAGCCUCGAGAAACAAAUCACCUUUUCUUAUAAGCUUUUCCUAAACAUCCAGACUGGGUCGGGUACCCCCUUACAGACUGCACCCUCUUGUUAUGUCCACAGUAUCAUUAUCAUUCACAAUUGAUUCCUAUUUCUUUUUCUCUUCUCACUAGAUUAUAUGCUUCAAGAGUAUAGGGUCUCUAUCUUGUUUACAAUCUUAUCUCAGGAACUGGCACAUGUUCAGACACAGAGAAAUUUUCUUUAAUUGGAAAAGUUGAGGAGUCUAGAGAUGGAAGUUCAGAAAAGAAAGUCAUUAAUAAGAGAGAAAAAAAAUCCAUCACCGUCAAUUUUAGCAACUAUGUCUAGGGUCCUAACAGACUGCUGAAAUUUGAACGAUAUAGUAGAAUUACCUCAGAAUACUGCAAACCUGUUUUCUACAAUUCAAAACUGUCCAGCUUGAUCACUUUUCCCUCUUAAUUCUACAUCAAAAGGAGAUGAGGACCAAAGGAGAAGAGCAAACAGAGAAAGAGCUAUGUACAUAUCCUAUUUAUCUUUCUCCUCUCCCCAAACCCACUAUAUUGUCCAUUUAUUAUUAUUCUAUCUGCUAACCUGAGAAUCUGAUAUACUUUAACAUAUAAGAACUACUAGAACAAUACAAAAAGAAAACAUGACUUACAUAUACAGCCGAUUCAGAAUCCACGGAAUUCAAAUUAAUGAUCCUAUUUUGUCCUAUGAAUCUAUGCCAUCUGCAAAACCUUAGAUUGGGGGUCGUAAUUAACUAAAAACUAAGCCGUUGUUCCAUUCAAAAUUCAGAAAUCCGGUCUUUCAAAUGCUUAGAUCUAUUAUGUCCCUUCCCAUUGAAAAUCAAAUAAAAUGCUUUUCUUUUUUCUUGGGAGAAAUUAUUUUUUUUUAUGUUUAUUUAUUUAUUUUUGGGAGAGAGAGUGCAAACGGGGGAUGGGAAGGGAGAGAGGGAGACAAAGAAUCUGAAGCAGGCUCCAGGCUCUGAGCUGUCAGCAGAGAGCCCGACACAGGGCUUGAACUCACGAACCACAAGAUCAUGUUCCGAGCCAAAGUCAGGAGCUUAACCAACUGAGCCACCCAGGUGCCUCAUUGGGAGAAAUGUUCUACUUGUUGUAGACCAGAAGCUGUUUUAACCCAAAUCUCACCCUUAACACCCUUAACACUGAAAUCACCAAUACACCAACAAUGAAAUCACCGAAGAUUAAAUUAUUAUAUCACUGAAAUAUCCUUUUUGACAAACUAGAACCCACUUUCUUAAUUUAACAAAUUUGCAUUGAACAUCUGUCCACUAGUUAUUUAAUACCACAGUCUAUAGGUGUUGUGAAAAGUACAAAACUACUAGAAGCCUUUGCUCUCCAAGAACUUAAAAUCUUGGCAGGAAAGGACAAAAGAGAAACAAAUAGAGAAACGAUGACGAUGUUUAAUAAAGAAUCCAAGUAUGGUACAGAUAACAGGCCCUGUAUGUUAUAAAAGAAGGGAAAGAUAACAGUGGAGUCCUAACCCCGAAACAGCCAUUUUCAAAUUUCAUUGAUUAAAAACAAACCAACCAACAAACACCGUCCACCAUUUUUACUUUUUCUGGUUUUUACAAACACAUGUAGUUCAUAGUUUGUUUGUGGCUCUGUCUUGCUGAAUCACUUAUUGUCUGUGAUAACUGCAUACAAUGUGUUGACCUCUGAGUAUGAGUUUCUAUACGGUCCCAAAUCACUUUGGAGCUGCAUCCAAGUGCCAUGUGUGAAGACAGGCAGAGAGUGCUCAACAAGUAAGAUAAUGGUGAGGCUCAACCUCCCCUGAAACUUGGUCAUGGUAAUACUUCCUCAUUCCCAUUGUUCUUAGUGCCAUAUGAAGAUUGUUUUCACAGCUAUCCACUUGUUAAGGGCAUACGGAGCACUGGUAAACAAGUGCCUAUCUCUAUUACAGUACUUACCAAAACGUAUUAAGAUUCUUCUUUUGUGCUAGACUGUGAACUCCUAGAAAGCACGUACAGAUCCUAUUAUCUUUGCAUCUCCAUCCCUUAUCAUAGUGCCUGGCAUACAAUAGGUACUCACUGUAUAUUCACUAAGUAAAUCUGCAUGUAUUUUAUAUACGGGAAAUUCUAAACCAUAUUCAAUCACUUUUUAGGAAAAAGUAAAAUCAUAGGCCUGAAAACCAUGCAAAGUAGUGAAGUACUUUUAUAAGGACACUGAUCUCCUGCCUUGCCUAAAUUCUAACUAAAGUAAUUUGAUUCCCCACCUACCCUAAAAUAACUCUAGUUACAAAUAAAUUUUUCUUUAUUUCCUGUUUUUUAAAGUUUAUCAUAUUUCACCUGGAAGCUAACAGACAUCAUGCUUCAUAUCAUCAGUGAAGUAAGAAUGUUCUUUAAAAUUUAUAUAAAUACUAUUCUUUUCCUAAAUUUUAUUUUCUCUUUAUAACAAGACAUUUCUUUUUCUUGUUAUAACAGUGGGGUAUUUGAAACCAACAUAAAAUGACUGUUUGUUACUUAAAAGGUAAUUACCAAGGAUGGUAUUUUGAAAAGUGAAAAAAAAUCAAGCCUUUGUAGUGCUUUGGAGUGGGGAGGGAAGAAGUCAUGAAAAGGUCCCCUGAAAAAGAGGAGAAAGUUCUCUCUGAUUUCACUAUAAGACAUACGUGGAGAAAGGCAACAACCAUAGUGCCAAAGAGCAAAUUACGGAAAAUGGAGUGUUAAAUACGCAAGGCAAUAUGUGAACCCUUCCAUACUGCAUUUAUUCCAGGGAAAGCACAUUAGUCUUUCUUCACCUUUGAUUUUAUUACAUGACCAAACUUCUCGAAGUCUCACCUCUUAAGAAUUAGCUUCAGGGAAGGGUGUGGAGAAAGACCAUGUGCAACCUCAUAAAAAACAGCUCAUUUUUAAACUGCUGCCAGACAUACAUGUUUUAUGAGUAAGACCUCAGAUAAUCCUUUGAUUAAGAAGCUUCUGGAUUCUAAAUGCACAAUGCUGCCAGCAAGAGGAAGCCUUAACUUCCAAGUAGGCUGAUUUCAUUCUUUUAGACUAUUACCAGCAACGAGGCUCUUUUCUAAGUUAAAUUUUCUUCUACCUUAAAAUUUUUCUGAAGACAAGAAAGAUCCAAUCAAGGUGAGCUACCAUUUUAUUCUAUCGAUUCUCUUUACUAAAAUACUUUAUUCCAAUAUCAAUAAUCACUCAUUCAUAACUCACUUGAUGUGUGCCCCCCCUGUGUCAGGCACUACGGGAGAUGCACAGAUGAAGAUAAAUAAUAACAAGACAGUCAAAACAGUAGACACAAAGCAGGAUGUCGAAGGUCAGACAACAGAGGAGUGGGGUGGACCUAGGAAAGCCCUAUGUUGGAGGUAGUAUUUGAAUGGCGCCUUGUAGGAAGGAGAGUUAAAAGGAGGUAAACCGUUCAAGACAAUGGGAAUGGCAUGAG